CCUAACCUCAUUUAAGGGAUGGCAGGUGCAAGGGAAGCAUCUCUACUCCAAGGUUGAUUUCUUUGGUGUAUUUGGUGAGCCCUGAUCCUUGGAAAGGGUGCCAGGGUGAAGAACUAUGAAGAAAUUCUGCAGAAGCUGGCAGCCCAUUGCUUGGACAGGCAGAUGAGAGCCAAUGGCAGAGUUCUGUGUGAGAAUUUUCGAGAGGAUGUCCACCUUGCAGUGGUCUUUCAGAAGUUGAAGCAUCUACUGGUGAAAGAGCAUGAUGUAUCCUAUGAGCCCCUGACAGACAGAAGAUUCUAAAAAUAUUACCAGUACGUGCUUCCAUUCAUGCUGUCCCCUGGAUUGUUACUAGAGGAAGAGUAGUGUGAGAUGGCUGAGGAAUUAACCACCCUUAGCUGCAGAGUGUGAAUAACCUCAGUACAAAUCACCAUCUGAUGCCAUUUACUCUGCGCUGCAAACUGCGGACAGAAUCACUGUGCUUCUUUGAGGAACAGAGUCUGAGGUUACAACCGCUGCUGGAAUGGUGGACCACAGGCAGAAUAUACUGUGAGCUUUCUGUCCAGCAGCAUUUAGUAUCUGGAGGAAGCAGGCACUGCUGUUAUUUGCUGUUGCUGGCUGUCAUGCUGCACGUAAGUCUGGCACCUCAGAGCAAUUGCUUUGGGUUAGAGAUGGAAUUCAGCAUACAAAGGAAAAAUGGUACUCCUAUAUAAAUAACUGAGAGUCUCACAAUGGCCCUUUGAACCAGCUCAUUUGUUCUAGUCACUGCCUGUGAGUAGCAUGAGUUUAUCUAGUACAUGCAGCCAUUGAAAGUAAAGUAAAAAAAAAAAAAGAAAAAAAAAACCAACAAAAAAAGAAAACCUGUUACAUUCAAGGUUGUGCAGAUCUAUUCUGUGGGCUAGUUGCCUGUGUCCAAAUUAUAUAAGAACAUUUGUUUAUCCAUGUAGUUUUCUGUUCAUCUUUGUGCUUGCUCCAGUAGCCAGAAAUCGCACCCCUCUCUUCGUAAGGGUAACCAUGUGAUUGCACAGCUCUUCCGUACUUCUACAGCAUGAUUUAUUUUUAUUUUGCUUCUUUAAGUGGCCUAUUGCACACUGAGAAGCUUAAGCUUCCAUUAUCUUUGAACAGCAGCAAUUAUUUAUAUAAAUGAAAUCAUUGUAUUUGCGUUAUUGGCAGUGUAGAGGAUAGGAAAUCAAAUGGCUUAGUUUGCUGGAGUAUUCUGGCAUUCACUUCCAGCAUCAUGGGGCCUGCAUCAAUCAUUAGCUUUUAGAAGCUAGUACUAUCAGUAUUUAUUCUGGAUCUUAAAUAUCUCAGUUUUCCUCAAGAAAUACAAGAUAAAGACAACAGGAGGAUUUGAAUGUUCUGAUGUAUUUUUUUUGUUUGUUUUAAAGAAGAAGCAAGCUGACAGCUGAAUUGUGUAGUUCAUAACUUGUAGUUAAUUAGUAGAAUUCCCUCAGCUGUUUGCAUCAGCUGAUGGUGAAAGAGUCACAAUGUACUGUUAAAGGGCAAGUAGAAUAAUUUGUUCCUAUAGAAGAGACAAAAAUUAUAUGUUUAUUGUGCAUCCAAUUUUUCCUUUUAGAUGAAUAGGAGAGGUCACCAAAAUAGUUGUUACUCUCCCCCUAUGUAUAUAUAAAUAUUUUUACAUUAGACAUGAAGCCUUUCUCCACUAAAUAAACAACAUAUGGAGACUUAAAAAUGUACUUCUGUUCUAUGUUACCAAAACUAUUGAGCUUGAGACUUUUCUUCUGUGCACUUUACCUUUUAUCUGAUAAACUAUUAAUGAA